CUCUGCAAAGAUCUUUGUGUGUCUGGCUCUGGGGUGUGUGUUUUUAUUUUUUUAGUGGGGGGUGGUUUAGUUUUUGAAAGCAGCGUCCUGUUGGGAAAGGUGGUUAGUCUGGUUUCGGGGCGACUGUCUCAAGGUAAAGGAAUUUAAUUUAUUUGGGACAAGGCUGUGUCGGAUGAUCAAGCUGCUUAUUAUGGCUAAUGAGUAUUUUUCACCUGAGAAUCUGUGGGAUGAGGUGGCUGUUAUCAGUUCAAAGUGAGGGGCCCCGGACUGUCUCCCACCUGCCUCUUUAGCCCCCACCCUAGGGGUGGUGAUGGACCAGACAGACUACUCAACGUAGGCAUCUGGGUUUGGGGGCCUCCUGUGGGACAAGGCCGGGGGCUCCAGGAGGCCUGGUGCUCACCUGGGGCAGUUUAUCCUGAUAUUUUGGUGUUUUCUUGGGUUUAAUCUAAUUCUUUCCAGUGUUUUUGCCUUCAGCUCUUGCGGGCUUCCCAUGGGCCCUGGCUAUUGAAACCAAAUUUUGACCAGGACCCUCACGUGCUAGGUUGACAAAAGCAGCUGUCUUCUUAAAUGUUUUAAAAGAAACAAGCAGCCCGAUCAUUCAUUGAGACUGAUCUCUGAACUCUCCUGGUUCAUUGAUGGGAUAGGUGAUACUGGUGGCUGUUAGCGUUGUUGUUUAUAAUAGGCCCAAGUUCACAGCAUCGGCCCUUGGGACCCAUGAGCUGAUAUCUGACCUUCUAAAGGUCAGUGGGCAGAGAGACCGGAGGCAGCCCUGAGGGGAUGAGGAUGGGUGGCACGGUGGCCGGUGAAGAAGGGCCUGUGUUUGUUGGGGGGAGGUGUCAUUUGCAGAGUUUGAGGACUGUGUGACACCAGGUGUGAUCUUGGCUGGUCUGACGUGGAGGGCCUGGGGACCUCUGCGCCCGGGAAGGGUGUGACACCCCCUGCUGGGCAAAGUGGUAAAGGUGUCUAAGGCCAAGGCUGCCACCCUGCCCCUCCCUGCCCUCCACUCCCACAGAGAACCUGCCUGCCCCCACCUCCAGUCGGUGUCUCAUCACCUCCCUCUCAGGCCCCACCCCCUUUCUUCGGAAAUGGGGCCCCCACCCAUCCCAGCCAAGAAGCAGACCUCAGAGAUGGGCCUGGUGGCAAUGCACCACCCCUUACCUGGGGCAGGAGAGCCUCUGCUUGUGGGCCAGCACACAGGACCCAGGCAUUGCAGAGCUGGAAGGCAGGCCCUCUGGUCGGCCUCCUCCUAACCUGGGUGCCAGCUGGAGCCAGCGUCCAUCCUCCUGCCAUCCACCAACCAGUCCCUCCAAGUCUGUCGUGGGGACAGUACUCCAAAGCCCUUCUCUAGGGUGUCCUGACUGGAGCGAGGGCCUCCCAGCCCUGGUAGGAGGCAGGUGGCAGAGCCUCUUGUGGCUUCUCUCCUGGGCCUUAGGGAGACUGACUUCUCCCAGCACUCCAGGGACAGGCUCUGGAAACUUUUCCUAGAAGCUAGAAGGGACCCUGAGGUCAGCUGCUUCCUCCUGUAGCUGGAGUAGAGCACUCCCAGUGGGACUCAGGCCUGGACUCUGGCCACUCAGAGGGGAGGCCCAGGGUGGCAGAGUUCUGACUGUUUCCUGGAGGAGUCAUCUGGUGAUACCAUCUCAGUCUCUUCUUUGAACUUGGAAGUUUCACUUAUAAUCUCAGAACUUCAGAAGAAAAGCAGUCUUCCCCCCACUUCACCAAAAAAGGGAAGCAGAUGAGGACGCUGAGAUCCCCUCUGAGCUGGUCCCUGGGCUGACUCCAUGCUCAUCUUCAGGAGCUGGGAACAGCUCCCUCAACUUCAUAGUGCACACGGCAUACAGCUGGGGCCAUGGGCCUCGUCUCUGGCCGGGGCUCGUGGCUGGUGAAGUGAGGGUCCCUUCCUCUGGGGCAGCGUGGGCAGCUUCAGCCGAGGGCCUCUCUGACAUAGUCCAAGGCCAGGGGCGCAGGCCUCGAAGGGCUGCUGGCAUCAUGGACCCACCAUGCCUCCCUGAUCAGUUAGAGGACCGAGUGGAAUAGCUAGAAUGGACAGGCAGGCCUGGAGAGCCAGGCACAAGAAGCAGGGGGAUGACAGGCCCCGGCCCAGCCACACCAAGCGCACCACGCAGGGCCACAGAUGGCACCACGCCUCCAAGGGCCAUAUGGGGUUCCUUUCCCUGGCCUCCCUGAUAGGAAGGAUCACUUUGGGGCUCCUCGGGAGGCCUUCAGAUGGAGCUGAAGAGCCCCUAGGCAGGGCCAAGAGCCCAGAGAAGGAGAUGGAGAUGUUUUCUAUUUCCUGGUCCCUGGGGGGCCCAGGGACAGAUUGAGACAGGCUCCUUGCAGGGAAGGUGUUAACAAACAGCAGGUGAUUAAACAUGACAAGCGGUGACAUUUCUGUUCAGGGUUCUCAGUCCCGGCAAAGCCAAGAAUGAAGCUAUAAACCCUGACAUUUUGUGUUAUGCACUGAGAGGUUUUUAAUAGACCUCGCUCCCUCUUCCCCACUCAACUUCUCUCCCUCCUCUACUUCCCCUCUCGGUAUCCACUGCCCCACUGGAAGCUCCUGCCUCCCGGAUUCCGCCGGGCCCCCAGGAGUCUUCCGGGGCCCUUGAUCCACAGACACUCC
rnacentral:lncRNA from 1 species